UCCUCUGAAAGGACCCACCUUCAAGUACGUUCAUAUUUAUUACAAAUUUGACGAUGUAACGGUCACACAACAUGAAACCCUCUUACUUCUUCAAUACCCUUUUACUACUACUACUAGAUAAAAAAUUAUUCUCAUUAGUCUUGCUACUUCUCCAUAAUUUGAAUCAAAUUCCACAAAGCAUAUCAUCAUUGCAGUAACCUC
rnacentral:lncRNA from 1 species